UACGAAGGGUGCAAGCGUUACUCGGAAUUACUGGGCGUAAAGCGUGCGUAGGUGGUGAGUUAAGUCUGUCGUGAAAGCCCCGGGCUCAACCUGGGAAUGGCGAUGGAUACUGGCUCGCUAGAGUCCGGAAGAGGCGAGUGGAACUCCUGGUGUAGCGGUGGAAUGCGCAGAUAUCAGGAAGAACACCAACGGCGAAGGCAGCUCGCUGGGACGGUACUGACGCUGAGACGCGAAAGCGUGGGGAGCGAACAGG
rnacentral:rRNA from 1 species